rnacentral:rRNA from 1 species
AUUGAACGCUGGCGGCAGGCCUAACACAUGCAAGUCGAGCGGAGCGUCGGACGGGUGAGUAAUGUAUGGGGAUCUGCCCGUUAUGGGGGGAUAACUACUCUAAAGAGUGGCUAAUACCGCAUACUAUUUGAGCGGCCGCUAUCUGAUUAGCUCGUUGGGGGGGUAAAGGCUCACAAAGGCAACGAUCCCUAGCUGGUUUGAGAGGAUGACCAGCCACACUGGGACUGAGACACGGCCCAGACUCCUACGGGAGGCAGCAGUGGGGAAUAUUGGACAAUGGGGGAAAGCCUGAUCCAGCCAUCCCGCGUGUAUGAAGAAGGCCUUCGGGUUGUAAAGUACUUUUGGCAGAGAGGCGGUAUCUGCAGAAUAAGCACCGGCUAACUACGUGCCAGCAGCCGCGGUAAUAC